rnacentral:ribozyme from 1 species
UGCCAAGCAACUUCUAUCCCUACCUCCUCGUGGUAUUGGCCGGUAACAAGCAACCUUAGGGAAGA